UCUCUUUUCCAUAUAUUUUCAAACUUUUUUGUUUGUUGAUUUUUGAGGCUUUUUACUUUAUUCUUUUCUCGUAGUCUUUUCUGACAGGAGCAUUCCUGAAAGCACCUUACCAAUUUGUUUGAAUAAAUAGUGUACUGCAGCAUGAAUGUGUAGAAGGAAUGUAAACUAUUCAUACAUAGAUUGAUUAAUUUCUCCCCAGAAAUUGCGUUACACUUGUUAGUUAUCAAAUAUAUAAAGGUUCCUGGUAAAUCUUUCUCGGACAGAAUGUUGGGUUUCCAGUUUAAACAAUAACCUUGCAGUACGCUUAAAGUACAUAUUUGCUCAUUUUGAACAUGUGGCUAAGACUGCAUAUGUACACGAUGUACACUGGGUUUUUGAUUAACUCUUUAAUUUUGAUCAAGUGGGUGUCGUUAUUUCUCGUAUUCUUCCGAAAAAAUUCGAAUAAAGAGAAAGAUAAUUGAUCAUGCAAAGAAUUUUUAUCUAUUUCUGAAAUGGAUUAUAAUUAUUCGGAAACGGAUCGAAAAAAUGAGGAAACCAAUCAUACUGAGAAUUUAUAAUUAACCGGAAACGAACCAAAAAUAUGCGGAAAUUGAUCAAAAAAAAAAACAGGAAACUGAAAAACUGAGACUUUUUGCUAAAACCAAAAACCGAUCAAAAUAAAUGGGAUAUUACGAAUCUUAACUGUUAAAAUGAAAUAGAUCGAAAUUUUUUGGAAAACCCCCGACAAAACAAUUAAAAGUUUUAGAGGGAUUUCCGAUAAUUUAUAAUUUCUUGGAAAAGGACGGAAAUAAAAGUCCCCCCUCCGGUGGGACCACUGCAAUGCAGCCCCCCCCCCCUGGAAAGGAAAAAAGUUAAGGGCCCCCCUGUACAAUUUCUGAACACGCCCCGACGAUUGUAUCAGUGCUCCUCUGAAGUAAUUCUUGAUAAUCAUUUAAUAUUUUGAAGUCAUGUGAAUCCACGCAACGCGGUAAACAUAUUUUUCAUAUAUAUAUAUAUAUAUAUAUAUACAUUUAUAUACAUAUGAAUAUAGAUUCUGCUGCGAUUUUAAAAAAUUUAAUUGCACAGACCGUAUACGGUGCACGUGUUAAGUAUCGCGCCAGUUGCCCAAAAAACAGUAAAUGAUUAUAAAGUAUUUCACCAUUCAGCUCAACCCCCCAUCCCCCACCGGCCACCAUUUCUGAAUUCACCCCUAAUCUAACAUGGGGGGCAUGGGAUUACGGUGCGCGUGUUUUGACGUUUAGCUAUAUUUCGCGCCAAAACCGUGAAUCUGCCGGGUAUGACCACAAAUAAAAUAACAAUUUUUAUUAAACUAAUAAAUUUCAACGAUAGAUCACAUUUAUUUUGACUCUCAAAAAAUACUAACUUAUUGAAAUAAAUUCUAAUUACUGUGCAAAAAUACGUUUAAGUCGGAAAAAUAGCGUAUGUUCCGUGUUUCUUUGUACGUAUCAACCAAUAAGAAUGCAGAUGUGCCAGGAUUUGACCAAUGGGAGAAGUUAGCCGGCUCUCCGCCAAUCAGAAUCUAGACUUUCCCUGUACCAACACUCGCAACCUUUCUCUACUUCAAAACUUUUUCAGUUCUACAUUUAUCGUUUCUGUACCUUCUAAGCUUAUAGACGCUAUACUUUUUUGAAACCAUGGCUGAUACCGUCGAAACCACCACCCCCGUCGUUGAGGAGACUCCCGUUGCUACCACCGAGGUAACCUCUGAGG